UACGGAGGGGGCUAGCGUUGUUCGGAAUUACUGGGCGUAAAGCGCGCGUAGGCGGCUUUGUAAGUUAGAGGUGAAAGCCCGAAGCUCAACUUCGGAAUUGCCUUUAAGACUGCAUCGCUAGAAUUGUGGAGAGGUGAGUGGAAUUCCGAGUGUAGAGGUGAAAUUCGUAGAUAUUCGGAAGAACACCAGUGGCGAAGGCGACUUACUGGACACAUAUUGACGCUGAGGUGCGAAAGCGUGGGGAGCAAACAGG
rnacentral:rRNA from 1 species